rnacentral:lncRNA from 1 species
AUUUGCCACAUUGAUUCUCCCCAGGUGGUGAGCACCUGACCCACGCUGAGCCAGUCGGUGCCUUCUGCAGAGAAUUUGGAAUCAGAACCUAAAGACUUCAGGAACGGCCCACUGUCUUCACAUCUGGAGGCCACGACAGGCUGGGAGCUGUUUUCCACUGCUGACCCGAGUUGCAGACAGAGCCAGCACCUGGCGGCAAGCCCCGCGGAGGGGAAAACAGAAAUUCCUGGUGGAU